GCUAUGUAAACUUCUAAUCCCAAGAAAAGAGAUCCAUGGGUAGAUACGGUGUAAAACUAGCACUUGCAAUAUUAAUAAUUGAGAUGGUUAUUUAUUCUGCCAUUAGUAAUGAAUCUAGAAACAUUAUUUUUGAGCAACCUUUGAAUCAAAUAUAUUAUAUUGCAGAUAGUAGUACUGCGCUCAAGGAAUGUAUUGAGGAUUGCAACAAACAAUAUCACAGGGGGACUAUGGCGAAUAUACGUUGCGUUAGAGAGUGCUACAAGAAGUAUUAAUAAAAAUGGCGGUUCCUUAUUAUGGCUUUUAGCAAUUCUAUAUAUUAAUUAAGCUUGGGUUUUUAUAAAUUAUCGAUCUAUUUAUCUAUCUAUAUUAUAUAUUCUAUUUACUAUUUUGUGGGUGUUGAAAACAAGUAAUAAAUAAUGUCACGAGGUAACAUUCUUUCCUUACUUUAGCUUGUGCAUAUAUGUAGGGGUGACAACACUAUCCGAAUUCGUGGGUAUCCACCCCACCUUUACCUAUUCGAAGCAGGUAAUUAUCCGCCGUCGCACCAGAGCGGGUUCUUGUGCGGGGCGGGACGGGAUCGGGUUUAGGUUAAACCCGCCCCUACCC
rnacentral:lncRNA from 1 species